GGAAAGGUUUUUUGGUUGGGGAUGGACUCGGGGCCUUUUCAGCUUGUUGGUGAGGUAAUGGCUCACCAAGGCGACGACGGGUAGCCGGCCUGAGAGGGUGACCGGCCACACUGGGAUUGAGACACGGCCCAGACUCCUACGGGAGGCAGCAGUGGGGAAUAUUGCACAAUGGGCGAAAGCCUGAUGCAGCAACGCCGCGUGAGGGAUGACGGCCUUCGGGUUGUAAACCUCUUUUAGUAGGGAAGAAGCGACUGAGUUUACUCUGAGUGACGGUACCUGCAGAAAAAGCACCGGCUAACUACGUGCCAGCAGCCGCGGUAAUACGUAGGGUGCAAGCGUUGUCCGGAAUUAUUGGGCGUAAAGAGCUCGUAGGCGGUUUGUCGCGUCUGCUGUGAAAUCCCGAGGCUCAACCUCGGGCUUGCAGUGGGUACGGGCAGACUAGAGUGCGGUAGGGGAGAUUGGAAUUCCUGGUGUAGCGGUGGAAUGCGCAGAUAUCAGGAGGAACACCGAUGGCGAAGGCAGAUCUCUGGGCCGUAACUGACGCUGAGGAGCGAAAGCAUGGGGAGCGAACAGGAUUAGAUACCCUGGUAGUCCAUGCCGUAAACGUUGGGCGCUAGAUGUAGGGACCUUUCCACGGUUUCUGUGUCGUAGCUAACGCAUUAAGCGCCCCGCCUGGGGAGUACGGCCGCAAGGCUAAAACUCAAAGGAAUUGACGGGGGCCCGCACAAGCGGCGGAGCAUGCGGAUUAAUUCGAUGCAACGCGAAGAACCUUACCAAGGCUUGACAUACACCGGAAACGGCCAGAGAUGGUCGCCCCCUUGUGGUCGGUGUACAGGUGGUGCAUGGUUGUCGUCAGCUCGUGUCGUGAGAUGUUGGGUUAAGUCCCGCAACGAGCGCAACCCUCGUUCUAUGUUGCCAGCGGGUUAUGCCGGGGACUCAUAGGAGACUGCCGGGGUCAACUCGGAGGAAGGUGGGGAUGACGUCAAAUCAUCAUGCCCCUUAUGUCUUGGGCUUCACGCAUGCUACAAUGGCCGGUACAAAGGGCUGCGAUACCGUAAGGUGGAGCGAAUCCCAAAAAGCCGGUCUCAGUUCGGAUUGAGGUCUGCAACUCGACCUCAUGAAGUCGGAGUCGCUAGUAAUCGCAGAUCAG
rnacentral:rRNA from 1 species